AUACGGAGGGUCCGAGCGUUAUCCGGAAUCAUAGGGUUUAAAGGGUCCGUAGGCGGGAAUCUAAGUCAGUGGUGAAAUCUUGCAGCUCAACUGUAAAAUUGCCAUUGAUACUGGAUUUCUUGAAUUAGUGUGAAGUGGUUAGAAUGUGUAGUGUAGCGGUGAAAUGCAUAGAUAUUACACAGAAUACCAAUUGCGAAGGCAGAUCACUAACACUAUAUUGACGCUGAGGGACGAAAGCGUGGGGAGCGAACAGGAUUAGAAACCCCGGUAGUCC
rnacentral:rRNA from 1 species